CUGGGCUUGGUCGUCAUCUGUAGCAUCUCGAACCAUCUUAAUAUCUCUCACCACAGGCGAGUUGGUCAUCUGAUAAAUGCAAAAGGAGAUUAUUUUAUGUCUUCACUCAUUUUUUGCACAUCAAACGCAAGCUGACAUGUUAUUGUUCUUUCUUGCUGCAAACCAAGUAAAUUGAUUACCUUUGUUGGCACCUGUGAAUCCAAAUUGACAAGUGCAGGAAACCUGAUCCAUACUGACUAUAACAGCUUACAGUAAUAUGAUUUUACCAAGAACCAUAGAUAUGGUUCUUGUAUGUAUAGAGGACUAAGUUACUUCUUUGAGAACCAUAUUUUGAUCUAGGUCUCACUACUUUUUUUACGAUUUUCCCAUCAUUGAUAUCAUUACUUACCUUAUUAAAAAAGCAUAUUGAGAAUUAUUAUUUUGACAAAUUUGGAAGAACUGCACUUGGUCAUGAAUUCUGGAAGGAAGUAAUCAAAUGACUAAUACUUCAUUGGGCAUUAGGAGGAUUGAGAAAAGGACUGUUCAAUUGCUGCUUCACAUUCUUUCAGAAGCCCUUCCGUUUUUCGUCAUUUGGUUGGUGUACUACCAGUGCUAUUGCUUCCAAAUUUAGGCACACAGCGAAGCUGCUUCCUGACUUAGCUGCCAGUAUUUAUUAGACUCCAUGACAGUCUGACUCUGAGACGUUAGCAAGAUGCUUAUACUCCUUGUUGUAUCUGAAAAUCUAGCUUUGAUGUCUCACUCCUCGUUCUGCAAAUUGUUGCAGCUAUAGGCAAUUGCUGAAUGCUCUUGCUGUGGACAGCCCAUUAUAUGCCCUUAAUUCUAGUAACACAAAGGACGACUUCCUUUCUUGUCUUUUGUUACAUUCAUUUAAUUCUGAAAUCCCGAUAUUUUGUGUCUAUGAUAGUUACGUGCCACUGUUCUCAUCUUCUUUUAGAGAUCAGAUAUGGUUCAUUUUUCAUUUUCACGAGACCCUCUUUUUAUCUGCCCACUACUCUCUAGAUGACUAGGACCAUCAAAUUGAAGAGGGAAAUAACACUUCUUGCUGUAGUCUACUUAUAUACCGGCAAUCUCUGGUUCUUCCUCUACUUUGUUGUAUGUUACUGGAUAUAUUUGGAAACCAGUUGGAAGAAACACUAACCUCUUUUAGAACCAGGGUGGUUUUCUGCUCAUUGUCUUGAAGAGUCUCAUCCAGAAGCAAUCAGCCCUUGGUACGGCACAACUCAAAGUUAAUGCUCAUGUCUGCCACAGUAGAUUCACAUUUGUUUUCUCAUUACUUUGGUCACUGCCCUGUAAUUACUGCUCAAGGCCGAACACAUCCUGUUUCAACUUAUUUUCUCAAGGAAAUUUAUGAGAGUAUCAAUUACCGCCUUGCAUAUGAUUCUCCUGAUUCUUUAAGUUAUGGGACAUCUACUAGGGAAAAGAAUGCUCCUAUUGGCAAUCAUAGGGGGGAAAAGAACCUUGUCCUCUCUGCAUUGGGUGAUGAAUCAUUGCUUACAUAAAUCCCCAUUAUGAUUCCAGUAAUUAUCAAAAUUACAGUGGACAAACUCAAAAGAAAAAUUGGUGAUUGCUUCUUAAAAGUAGUUUUCAGUGAUGCUAAUUAAGAUCCUAAAAACUUAACUGAAAGAAUACUGUGAUGAACCAUCUCUCACUAUGUCAGAGGAAAUUGAAUGAAGACAUUGUGGAUUAUGAUCUUCUCAAAGACCUGUUUUAUGCCUGCAGAAGAAAGGAAUAUUGACUUGUGAAUUGUGUUCUGCUGAAGGGGGUUUCCGAAAUACACACCUAACUCGAUAGACUGUCUGUCUCCUUUCAGUUUAGUGGACAAUCUUUUGAAUGGAUUAUUCUGUAGCAUCAGGAAAAAGUAUUUAUGAGACCUCCAGAAAACAUCGGUAAGGUAAUAUUUUCUAUUCAAUCGCAUGUUCUUUCAUUGUAGACAUUAUGCUUUUCUGAUUCACCAUUGAAUGCAUGCUAUCUUCAAUUUGGGUUCAUUUCCCCUCUGUGCUUUUCUGUUCUCUUUCAUGAGUGGGUUAUUCAGUGUCUUGUGUUAUUAAUAUGCGUCACUGUCUGAACACAAUUAAUUCAAGUAAUUACUCCCUGAAGGCUAAAUGCUUAUUAUCUUUAUAUAGCUGGUGUAAACUAACUCCUGUCACUAGUAUUGAACACUUCUCGAGUUUUGUCAGCUCUUUAGCAUCUUAAUUUCUAUUUGUAUCAGAGCUGACAAUUCCUCACGUUUGUAACUCUUUGCAUGUUCUCGAUGCCAGCAAUGAAUUCUACUUACUUCCUCAAAAAAGAGUAAUGUUGGAAGAUGGUAAAUUGUUGUUUCUCUCUGUAGUGCAGGAAUUCAUUUUGAUGAUUUGCCCCUAGAAAAUGCUUGAAUUGAACAUAUGCCUGGGCUUGCAAGUUGCCUUUCACUAGAACUAGUAAUUGGACUUUUUUAGACUUUUCAAGCUCUGACUUGCAAUACCAGUGUUAUGGCAACUCCAUCUAGAUAAUAGCUGCUGCCUAGCAGUACUGCUCUAAAAAAUGUGUGCAUGUAACCAUGGAUGCAUUUCCAAUCUUAAGUUUGCUCUCUGACUCAUAUUUGGAUUUUGGUAUUAGAAUUAGAAAUUGACUGUGAGAUAUGUUCAGCAUUUCGAUUUGGAUAGAAAAAUAUUUGUCUAUAGUUGGCUAUGACUAGGUCCAGAAGAUAUGUUUCAGCCCACACAUGUAUUGAACUUUUAUGAGUUUCGUUUAAAGAAAUGUCAAUUCCCUUUGCUUUUUGUACCAGUAAUCAUGUUUUCUACUGCAUAAAGUUAUUGAUUUUAGAAAUUAUCAAGCUUGGUUGAAGAUUGGAUAUCUGAAGCAAAUGCAAGGCAACGUCAAGGCAGAGCUGGACGUGUAAAGCCAUGAAUCUGCUUUUGUCUCUACACUUGUUACCGAAAUGAGAAGCUCAUGCUACCAGGUAUGGGGUAUUAGUGGGUUUUCCUCGUUAUUCUAUCUGCUACUUCUCUUCUUUGUUUCAAGAUGUUAUUUUCUUAAUGCAAUACAAAUGAUAUCCUAAUUAUUACACUAUAAGAAAUUUAUUUUGCAGGUCAAUCCGUUCAUUUACCACCAUAGUGUUAACUGUUAAGUGAAUGGGGUCUGUCGGGUACUCUCUUCUCUGAUAUGCGCUAUAUUAUUAUGUCGUGAUCCGGGAUAAAUCAUGAUGAAUGUGCCUGAAUUUUGUGUGCUAUGUGCAGGUUGUGUGUACAGACUAUGAAUCUAUGUAAGAAAACUAAACAGUUAGACUAAAAUUUAAGAAAAGUCUAAAUUAAUAGAAAACGUAUUGUUGUAAAUUUUCAUUUUCUUUUUGCAAAUGAAAACAAUAUUUAUAUCUAAAAACGUGGUUCCAUUUUAUUUA